rnacentral:rRNA from 1 species
GAUUAACGCUGGCGGCGUGCAUAACACAUGCAAGUCGAACGAAGUGGCGGACGGGUGAGUAACGCGUGAGUAAACUGCCUUACACAAGGGGAUAGCCGUUGGAAACGACGAAUAAUACCCUAUGGUGUAAGAUGGACUCGAGUCUGAUUAGCUAGUUGGUGAGGUAACGGCCCACCAAGGCAACGAUCAGUAGCCGGCUUGCAAGCAUUGCCGGCCACAUUGGGACUGAGACACGGCCCAGACUCUACGGGAGGCAGCAGUUGGGAAUUGUGCACAAUGGGGGAAACCCUGAUGCAGCGACGCCGCGUAAUUUGGAAGGCCUUCGGGUUGUAAAAAUCUUUUGUAUGGGAAGCCGUACCAUACGAAUAAGGACCGGCUAAUUACGUGCCAGCAGCCGCGGUAAUUC